UUACUCGNCACAAGGNUUCCGUAGGUGAACCUGCGGAAGGAUCAUUACCG
rnacentral:rRNA from 1 species